GCCAGUAUUUUGUAUGGGCCUCAUGAUAAAACAAGGCCACGUGUUUCAACAUUCAGAAUAAGUGUUGCCUCAUUAUGUUGUGCCCUGUUCAAAGUUGACUUUAAAGACUGUCAUUUUAAUCAUACUGCCAUGUAAGAUCUUUAAAUUUGUUGAACCAUGGAUUGGGCAAUCAUAAAUCUAUAAAGAUCUCUUCACUUAUAAUCUUGUUCUACUGAAAGUGCCUACACAAUCACAAAGGAUGAAUUCAAGG